rnacentral:sRNA from 1 species
UGACCUUCCUAAACCAGAGGUAAUUACUUCCAUUCGACUUUUUUGCGGUUGUAAAUGUCUGUUCAUUUGUCUAUCUAUGUUUGUGUUUGUAGAAACUGAUAUAACCCGAUUUUCACCGAUUUUAUCUAUGUUUUAGGUAUACGAUUUUGAGUCUUUAUGUUAUUUCUCGAGUCUUUUUAGUGUCUUUUCAGGUAUUCUAUGCAGUGGGACAAUAAUGGAGAUAAGGAGACAUUUUGGAGCAAAAGUUAAGGAAAAGAGCUAAGGACGAUUUUGGUUCAGGAAUCAGCGAGGAGUGUCGAUCGACACACUCUUGGUGUCGAUCGACACCAGUUUCGGCCCAGCAGAAGUCCAUGACGCUUUCAAGUUUACAAAAGAGGAAAUUUGCCCCAGAAGACUUUCCUAUUUGCAUUAUUAGUCCCUGGACGUUUUUAGGGUUUUAUAUAUAUUGUUUUUAGACCUAAG